CAGCCGUAAACUAUGCGCGUUAGGUGUAUCGGUGACCACGAGUUACCGAGGUGCCGAAGGGAAACCGUGAAACGUGCCGCCUGGGAAGUACGGUCGCGAGGCUGAAACUUAAAGGAAUUGGCGGGGGAGCACCACAACAGGUGGAGCCUGCGGUUUAAUUGGACUCAACGCCGGGAAGCUCACCGGAUAGGACAGCAGAAUGAUUGCCGGGCUGAAGACCCUGCAUGACUAGCUGAGAGGAGGUGCAUGGCGUCAGUGACU
rnacentral:rRNA from 1 species